CGCUGGACCUGCAAAAUCUGCUCCGUGUCUCAGAGAACGCCUACAAGCAGUACCUCAAGUCGCGGCCAAACCCCUCGCCGGAGUCCAUCAGACGGGUUAAAAACAUAGAUCUGUCCAGCAUGGGUGUCCAUCCAGUACUCGGGUGUGGUCUGAAAAAAUGGAACUGGAGUGCCUUCAAAUAGUCGAUGCCAUCAAGAGCUACAAAUCCAAAGCGACCAUCUUCGAAAUCAACUCCAGUAGUAAAACACCAG